rnacentral:snoRNA from 1 species
AUUCCAUGAUGAGGGCAUUUUUGCAAUAAUUCUUUGCAGCUCUCUCAUACCUCAUACAAAGAUUCAUCAUCCAUUUGCUAAAAAUCCGUGAUCUUAUUCUGCAACU